UUAUUCUUUAUGAUGAUUUCAUAGUUCAAAUGAUUUAUAUGAUUACAUUUGCAUUUGUCUUUCGCUCCUAACUGAAAAAUAUU